GCUCUUUGUGGCCUUUGGCAGGCAGCGGCUGAGCAGGCGGAGGGCAACACAAAGAAAUACGCUCGCUGCUAUGGGAAGGCUUUGCCUACACAAUUAGAGCAGCAGAGAGAAGCAUUGGCAUUUUAGGUUUCCAGCACAUGAAAUCUGCAGUCUUGCAAGUCGGAGUCUUUUAAAUGGAAAGCGAGAGAGUAAUCAGUGGUUCACGGUGAAAGAAUGACUUCUGGGAGCAGAUAUUCAAGUCUCUUAGGUCUGGAUCAACCAAGCAAAUCAAGGUAAAACCCAGAGGGACAAAUAUACUGCACAGAUCUGCUUAGGAAGCAUCCUUUUAUAGAAACAAACGGGGAGGUAAAGCAUGGUGCUUUAAAAGUGCAUUAAGCGUACUUUAUUCCUCAGCUCAGAGUUAAUUCAAGCAAUAAACUCACUGCUUUCACACUUGCUAAAGCUUCCCACAAAUCUCACGACUGAGCUCCCCACCGAACCUCAGGGGAAGCUGUUAGGAUGAUAACUCCCUUCCCCCACCUCCAAGCUGACCUGGAAAUGCUUAGAGAAUUGUGCUCAGCAAAACCCUGUCCUAACACUUUUUAUUAUUGCUCUUAGUACCUGUGUUUUUCUCUGUACCACGUAUAUAAAAGAGAGGGGAUUUCCCCUUGCACCAAUUAAAACCCAAAUCUCACCUCUCCUUUCUUCCCCCUCAACAAGAAGUUAACCCCUGCUGAGCUCUUUCCCCCAAGGCAUCCAUAAAGCCUCACAGGUGAGCUCGCUGCAGUGUAAUGAGAAUGAAUCAGUGCUGAUCUCCCAACAGAUAAACACAAAUCUUUUAUUCUAGCCACCUGGCUCUGGAUUUAUCAGACAAGAAAACGUCUAUGGUUGGGGUUAGCUGGAUUUGCUUCUUUCUUUUGCCCUCUUGGGAGCAAAGAUGUGUAUGAAUCAUAUAAUUGGUUGCCUAACGAAGCUCUUUAAGAAUAACUGGAAGAAAUGAGGUGCACCCAGGAGACUAGCAGGAGAAGGGGCCGUUGUGCCAAAUUACCGAGAAUUUCUGAUUGUUCUCAAGGAGGGGCUAAAGACAUGCUUCCCCAGCAUCUCUUUAGAAAUCAAGAAGCAGGAAAGUCUCACAACAGCUAGCACUGUUCCUUUGGUCCUGGCACACUUGAGAACCACAGUCGCUCAAACCAUCCUGCCCACGAGUCUCGGGUUAACUUCAUGUGCUGGACAGGAAAAAGACACCACACCAGAAAGCAGGACGGUGUUUGCAUGGAGAUAGCAGGGCUGAAGUCAGACCAGGGCAGGGAGCAGAACAGUUCCCUCCAUCCCCUUGCCAGUGUUUGACCUUGUGCACCUCAGUCCCUAAAACCCUGACACUUUCUGCCCUGCUCACCAUG
rnacentral:lncRNA from 1 species